rnacentral:lncRNA from 1 species
UCGGCCAAUCGAGUAUCCUCAAUAGUAGGAACCAUGGGAGGCGGCACUAUGACAGUAGGUGGUGGAAUGGUCUCAUAAUGAUCUGUCAGAUGGAAUGGAGUACCGAGUGAAACCCUAGGUGGAAUAGCCUGUGCUGUCUGAGAUGCAUGAGGAACUGUCUCAUCAAUGACCAUGCCAACCGGCUGGGGAUCCUGGCGAGAACUCUCUAUCUGAUCCAAGUGUCUACUGACUCCGGCCAUGAACUCCUGGAUGGAAGCAAGUGUGGAAGCUAGCUCGUCUGACAUCUCAACUGAACUGUCUGAACUCGAAUAUGAAUCUGCUCUGAUCAAUCGACCUCCUACUCUCCUCCAAGAAUGUGACUCCAGACUCAACUGACUCCUAAACUGACUCC